UACAGAGGUCUCAAGCGUUGUUCGGAUUCAUUGGGCGUAAAGGGUGCGUAGGUGGUGAGGUAAGUCGGAUGUGAAAUCUCCGGGCUUAACCCGGAAAUGGCAUUGGAAACUACCUUGCUAGAGGAUUUGAGGGGGGAUUGGAAUACUUGGUGUAGCAGUGAAAUGCGUAGAUAUCAAGUGGAACACCAGUGGCGAAGGCGAAUCCCUGGAAAAUACCUGACACUGAGGCACGAAAGCUAGGGGGAGCAAACAGG
rnacentral:rRNA from 1 species